rnacentral:lncRNA from 1 species
AUAUGUAUAUGUAUUUGUGGAGAACGCCAUGUGAAGAAGAAAAUAAAAUGUUCUGAAAUUAGGUAGUAGUGUUGGUGGACAACAUUGUGAAUGUACUGAAAGUCACUAAACUGUACAUUUUAAAAUAAAAUGGUGAAUUUUAUGCUACAUAAAUCUUACCUUAUUAAAAAACAUAAAAACACUUAGGGGCAUUCAACCAAAAAAAAAAAUGAGAGAGAGAGAAAAGUAAGAUAUAACAUUAAGAAAGAAAAAAGUCAACUGAAAGGAAGGAAAUUCUCCAGACAGUGAUUGUAUAUUUUAGGAAUUAGUUUCCUCCUUUCCUUAAAAUGCAGUUCAGGAAUCUCAGCCCCUCAGAGCUGUCAUGGGCAUCCUGGCCUUUGCUUGUGAGACCACACCCCACCUGCAUCCCUCGUCACUUGAAAAGCAGCGCCUGGAGUUUGGUCUUGUGAGGGGUUCCUUAGGGGCUCUAUUUAGCACAGACAAAAGUUUGCUUUUAGCCGCUGGAAAGGGAAUGAAGGGUCUGGAGGAGGAGUGUUGAAGGGUGACUUUAUAGACUACAGUCUAUAAGGACAGAGCUCAGAAAGUUUGCCUGUGGACAACUAUGGAGCAGAAACAAACUUUAGUUUCUAGUGGACUCUCCAGCUUUGGGGGCAUUUGGCCAGAGAGCUCAGAGUUUUCUCGCAGCUGCAAAUUUUCUCUUGCCUCUGAGUAGACUCAAUCCCUGCUUUAAAUCUCUCCUCUCCUUUUCUUCCGACCUGUUUCCUUCUCUUAUUCUGCACAUAUGCCAAAGCGGCUAAAAAGGGGCCUGUGAGAAGUGAUAUAUGGUCAGGGUUGGCUGACCAAAGAUCAAAGGAGGGCACAACUAUUAGGCCUUAGAAAUAAUUUAAUCUAGACCCCCAAUUUUACUGCAGGAAGUGAUUCACCCAAGAUCCCACAGCUGACUCUCAGGAUGAGGGCCCAGGGCUUCUCCUUCACCUGCAGGCUCUGCCAUCAGCAUGCUACUUAACUUCUCUGAGAGCCCCAGUUUCCUCAUCUGUAAAAUGGUAACAUUGUAACUGUGUCUACGUUAUGUGGUUGGUGGUGGCUCAAGCCUGGCAUAUAGGUGAUUGUCAGUAAAUACUGUGGCAUAAAUGAAGGAAUGAGACUCUACCUUCUCAAAAUAUUCUUAGAUGUUAACUUCAAUUAAUGGAAAGUUUAUUCCCACCCCAGAGCAGUGCUUGGCAUGUAACAAUGGUUAAAAAAAAAAAAAAACAAAAAAAAAAAAAAAAAAAAAAAACAAACUUGUUGAAAUAGCAAAGACAUGGAAUCAACACAAAUCCAUCAAUGAUAGACUGGAUAAAGAAAAUAUGGUACAUAUACACUGUGGAAUACUAUGCAGCCAUAAAAAGGAACAAGAUCGUGUCCUUUGUAGAGACAUGGAUGGAGCUGGAAGCCAUUAUUCUCAGCGAACUAACCCAGGAACAGGAAACCAAAUCCUGAAUGUUCUCACUUACAAGUGGGAGUUGAACAAUGAGAACAUAUGGACACAGGGAGGGGAACAAUGCACACUGGGGCCU